rnacentral:rRNA from 1 species
AAAUUGAAGAGUUUGAUCAUGGCUCAGAUUGAACGCUGGCGGCAGGCCUAACACAUGCAAGUCGAGCGGUAGCACAGAGAGCUUGCUCUCGGGUGACGAGCGGCGGACGGGUGAGUAAUGUCUGGGAAACUGCCUGAUGGAGGGGGAUAACUACUGGAAACGGUAGCUAAUACCGCAUAAUGUCGCAAGACCAAAGUGGGG